AGCUGAGUUUGAUCCUGGCUCAGGACGAACGCUUGCGGCGUGCCUAAGAAAUGCAAGUCGAACGGGGACUUCGGUCCUAGUGGCGAACGGUCGCGUAACACGUAAGCAACCUGCCCUGAAGUGGGGACAACAUCCCGAAAGGGUGCUAAUACCGCAUGUGGUCACGAGUCGGCAUCGACUUGUGUCUAAAGAUUUAUCGCUUCAGGAUGGGCUUGCGGCCUAUCAGGUAGUUGGUGGGUAAUGGCCUACCAAGCCGACGAUCCAUAGCUGGUUUGAGAGGAUGAUCAGCCACACUGGGACUGAGACACGGCCAGACUCCUACGGGAGCAGCAGUGGGGAAUAUUGGGCAAGUGGAGAACUCUGACCAGCGACGCCGCGUGC
rnacentral:rRNA from 1 species